CCUACGUGCGGCAGCAGUAGGGAAUAUUGCUCAAUGGGGGAAACCCUGAAGCAGCAACGCCGCGUGGAGGAUGAAGGCUUUCGGAUUGUAAACUUCUUUUUUUAGAGAAGAUAAUGACGGUACCUAACGAAUAAGCACCGUCUAACUUCGUGCCAGCAGCCGCGGUAAUACGGAGGGUGCAAGCGUUACUCGGAAUCACUGGGCGUAAAGAGCGCGUAGGCGGGAUAGCAAGUCAGAUGUGAAAUCCUAUGGCUUAACCAUAGAACUGCAGUUGAAACUGUUAUUCUAGAGUAUGGGAGAGGUAGGUGGAAUUCUUGGUGUAGGGGUAAAAUCCGUAGAGAUCAAGAAGAAUACUCAUUGCGAAGGCGGCCUGCUGGAACGUAACUGACGCUGAUGCGCGAAAGCGUGGGGAGCAAACAGGAUUAGAUACCCGAGUAGUC
rnacentral:rRNA from 1 species